rnacentral:lncRNA from 1 species
AGCUCAUGCCUCACUUAGCACCAAAGUCAGUCACAAGCAAGGCACAGGCUACAGGAUACCAGAAAUUAGUGGGAACUACUACAAAAAAAGAAGUCAUGCCCAGAGACUGUUGCUGCACUUUGAACAGAACUUCUGGUUUAAAUUCAUCCAAAAGGAAUCCCCUUCAAAUGCAGAAAAACUGCCCCACAGUCUGAGCCAACAUGGAGCAAGUCUCCCAGGAAGUCUUCUCCAAGAUUCCUCUUACUGAAGUCUGCCUUCUUGAAAUACAUUGCCUUUAGUUCCAGUUAUUUUCUAUCUAAUCUGACUUCUGAGAACUCUAUCCUUUUGUGACCAAUCUCAAGCACAUUACCUCUUAAUCUUCGCAUUCUUAGCUAUUUCUUUUCUAUUAAUUAGAGUAAAAUCUGAAGCAGACUCUGCCCUAAUUACUCUUUUAAUGAAAGUAUUUCAGGAGUUUUCUAAUCAGCUUGUCUCCUGCUGUAUUCACAAAGGGUGUUGGCCUUCAGCAUUGUCAGUGAGAUCUGUGCUAUGGUUUACUCUUCACAUAUGUAAUUUACAUCAUCCUUCCUGCCUGGAAAUUAUUAUUUUUUUUUUAAUUACUGUUAUUAUUUAUUUAUAAGCAUCAUUUACAGUCCUUUAGAAAUUCAUUCUUCUUGCUUUUGUCUGAAUCUCAGAAUGAAGGUGUUCAUCCAAGGUCCCUUACUACUUGUUCUAUAUAGGAUGUGUUACAUGAGUUUGAAUUCUUAUCUCUUUUUCUAAGUUGUUGUUACUGUAAUUACAAAUGAACAGCAUGAAGUAAUAACCAGAUGUCUAGUGAGUCUCAAAUAAAGCCAAAGUCAGAGAAAAACUAAUGGUUAUCAUGCUUCUCUGUGUUAAGGACAUGUAGCUUCUUUUUUUCCACCACUAGAGUAUGUUCUUUAUUUUCUCUUAAUGACUGGAUCAUUGGCUGCUUUUGGUAAUCAUUUGCUUCUCUGGAGACUGUCCAGUUUGUUAUCCAUGUCUUGUAUCUUUGCUUUCCUUUCCAGCUAGCCACCUUCUUUUUCACUGGAGAUCCUCGUGUCUGGCACAUUGACAUCCUUUUGAUCAUUUAGGCUUCUUGGCUUCACUACCUUUGCUUCUGGAUCUCCU